GGCCCCUCGCGGAUGGAAAAUAUGGGGGGUCGGACCUGCCCGGUGACCUUAAGGGUUAAACGGCCGCGGUACCCUGACCGUGCAAAGGUAGCAUAAUCAUUUGCCUUUUAAUUGAGGGAUAGUAUGAAUGGUUUGACGAGAAUUGAGCUGUCUCUUUUGAAAUAUUGAGAAAUUAACUUUUAGGUGAAGAGGCCUAAAUUUUGCUGAGGGACAAGAAGACCCUAUUGAGCUUUAGUGAUCUUUUGGGCUUAGGUUACAAUUAUUUGAAAGCUUUUCUUGGAGAAAUCUUUAGUUGGGGCGACUUAGGAACAGAAGAAGCUUCCUAUGAUGAAUGGUAAUUUUAAAUUUACUUGUUUUUGAUCCAAUAUUAUUGAUUGAAGGAAAAAGUUACCAUAGGGAUAACAGCGUAAUCUUCUUGGAGAGCACAUAUCGAAAAGUGGGUUUGCGACCUCGAUGUUGGACUAAGAUAUCCUGAGGGUGUAGAAGCUUUCGAGGGUUGGUCUGUUCGACCAUUAAAAUCUU
rnacentral:rRNA from 1 species